AGCUGCCUCUGGGACUGCAUCAAAAGAAGUGUGGUAAGCAGAGAAAGGGAAAGAAUUCUCCUCUGGUUUCCUGAGAUCCCCUUGGAGUGCUGUGUCCAGCUCUGGGGCACCCAACAAAAGAGAGAUGUGGACCUGGUGGAGUGAGUCCACAGGAGGGACAGGAAGAUGACCAGAGGGCUGGAGUACUCCUGUUUUACAGAAAGGUUGGGAGAGAUGUGGCUGGUCAGCCUGGAGAAGAGAAGGUUCUGGGGAGAUCUUAUAGGACAUUCCAGUGCAUAAAGGGGGCCUAUGAGAAAUCUGGAGACGGACUUUUAAAGAGGAGCUGGGAGGAAGAAAUGCAUGGCUGGAGGACAAAGAUUUAUAAGCCAAAAACUGCAGGGAACUUAGUGGUGCUUUUGAGAUGCCACCUUGAGAUGCCAUAGCAUGUGGACAGCUGAAUGCUUGAGACACUUAUCCAUCAAUGCCACUCUUCAGAAACAUUGACAAUGCUCCCUGACUUUUGGAAAACUUUUUGGGUAACAGCAGAGCAUCUCCAAAAUGAAGGAGUGGAGAGUGCCCUGUAAAAAUUGAGAGCCAUGAAAUGAAGUGCUUACAGAGAACAUAAACCUUCAGUAGACUGGUACUGUAUAAACUUCAUAAACUCCAAAAAUCUGCCUGUAUUCCAAGUUAUAUUGACGUUUCUUCUGUAAAUUGCACUAUCUAUUGCCAUGAUUUAGCUUUCCAGUUUUUAGAAUGUCAACUUCCUCAGAGAAAUCAGUGAGCAAAAUCAUAGAUCUUAUUGUUUACUUUCAGGAAACAAUGAAUGUAGACUUCAUAAGAUUUCUAUUUUUGGUCUAAUCAUAAAUAACUC